CUCCUCCUGUGUGACUUGAAGACGAGUCACAACCAGAUGAUGUAACAAAAUUCACAAAGAGAUCUAAGAGAAGAGGGACUGGGGAGGGGGAUGUGAGGAUGUCUCUCUCUUUCCCUACAGUUUAAGAACCUUCUCUUUAUUUGCUUGUAACUCAGUUCUUUCUAGGAUUGAAAAGUUCUUGGGAGGGGCUGCAUUUGAGCUGUGAAAUGUUAACAGGAACAGCAGUUUCUCUUAGAGAAGAAGAGCUCCAGAAGCUGCCUGUUUAUACAGAAGCCAGAGAAGGUCGAGAAGAUAGUUCCCUGGAGGCAACAGGAGAGCUGAUAGGUGACCAAAAAGGCGUACAAACAAAUGACAGCAAUACCAGACAGAUCAGGUGGCAAGUCAUCACGGAGCUCCCUGAUCCCACAACACCGUGUGCUUUGCCCCAACCGAGUCCGAUCAGGAGGAGACUGGGAAAGCUUCAUGGCAGAGCCAAAUGCUCAGUGCCAUCUUUGGGGCUUGAUGGAGGCCCUGGUCUCUGUGCUUGACAUAAAUGAUCAAGUUCUUCCCAAGGAGGGAGACUUUGCGAAGCG